CUCGUAGGCGGCUUGUCGCGUCUGCUGUGAAAACCCGGAGCUCAACUCCGGGCCUGCAGUGGGUACGGGCAGGCUAGAGUGCGGUAGGGGAGAUUGGAAUUCCUGGUGUAGCGGUGGAAUGCGCAGAUAUCAGGAGGAACACCGAUGGCGAAGGCAGAUCUCUGGGCCGCUACUGACGCUGAGGAGCGAAAGCGUGGGAGCGAACA
rnacentral:rRNA from 1 species